GGGCGGCUAGCUCAGCUGGGAGAGCGCAGCCCUUACAAGGCUGAGGUCGGAGGUUCGAUCCCUCCGCCGCCCACCA
rnacentral:tRNA from 4 species